CUCUCUCUCUCUCUCUCUCUCUCUCUCUCUCUCUCUCUCUCUCUCCCAGCACCACCAGAGAGGGAAUCGACAUUAAAGGUGUGUACCACUAUGACCAGCCACAGCCAGAGCCUCUCUUAAUGAAAUUCCCAAAGAAGAUAAGAAGCUAGGAGACAGACUCAAGGUUCAUGUGCAUGGUACUGAAAGUCACCACUAAGCUAAGACAUUUUCCAAUAGGAAUUCUUGUUUACUUAAGGAGUUGAUGCUUGUUGCUGGAAGUCAGACCCCUGAGCCGACACAGUGAUGGAGAAGGUACCGAUGAAGCGAAAAGUGGUGAUUUUUUUAUUUGCUGGGGACCUUGGUUGGGUUUCUCAGAAAGGAGGACGUUUUCCUGGUUGUCGUCACUUCACACCAAGCUGUUGGAGUGGAGUUGAGAAGGAGGCUGGAGUGAGAAGCAAAACAUAACAAAAUGAGGAACUGAAAUUGUGUGGCAGUCCUAGAGAGAAGAGGCGGGAGGAAUAAACAGACAGAACACAAGCAAAGCUUAAAAAUAUAUAUGUGCUGGGUGGAUGAUCUUGGCCACCAAUCUGGCUGAAUUGGAAAGAUGCCUUGGAAAUUGGUCACUCAAGCAACCCUUCCAUAAACGACUAGUUAUUUGUUGUCAUUUAUUUGUUUUGAAAUAGGAUAUUUUGAAGCCCUAGAACCAGUUAUGUAGUUGAAACUGUCCUUGAUCCAGCACCUUCAGUCUCCAAGUGCUGGGCUUACAUACAUAGGCUAUUUUGCCUGUCUUUCAGUGAUGAAUGGGAUGUGUGUCGGCAAUGGGAUGGAAAAGGCCGCCUUGAAUGUGUUUGGGGUCUUGAUGGAACAGAGCAGAAGGAAGGAACAGUGUGAGGACCUGACUUUGAAAACUCCAUUUUAAAGAAGGGGCUUCAUCUUAAGCCAUAUAAUGAGAAUGUGUGUGUGUGUGUGUGUAGGGGGGUGAUCUCAGCUCCAGAAAUGUGCUGCCAUAGCAGAAAUUUGAACAGAUACCCUAAAAAUGGCCAAUUAAGAAGAUAGGGAGCAGAGUCAUAAAAUUUAACAAGGUCCAGAUGUUCCUAGGAGGCAUCCUGUCCUUGAAGAUACCUUGUCAGUUGUUAAUGACCCUUUGAUAGUUUUUUUUGCACCCAGAAACUGACCAAUAGUUUCAGAAACUACCUUAUCCUAUGCCCUCCUCACCCAAUCCCAAGAAGACAGGACAUGAACUCCCCUGAUUACGGCAUUUCCCCUUUAAAAGUUCUACCCUCCCAGGGCUCCCUGCCACAUUUUCUGUACCCACCAUGCUGGGGUGCUGGAAAGGUGUUGGUCUAAACUUGAGUUUGAAUUAAAAAUCUUCAUGUAACUUGCAUCAGAAA